rnacentral:rRNA from 1 species
AGCGAACGCUGGCGGCAGGCCUAACACAUGCAAGUCGAGCGGCCGUAGCAAUACGGCAGCGGCAGACGGGAGAGUAACACGUGGGAACGUACCCUUUGGUUCGGAACAACACAGGGAAACUUGUGCUAAUACCGGAUAAGCCCUUACGGGGAAAGAUUUAUCGCCAAAGGAUCGGCCCGCGUCUGAUUAGCUAGUUGGUGGGGUAACGGCCCACCAAGGCGACGAUCAGUAGCUGGUCUGAGAGGAUGAUCAGCCUCACUGGGACUGAGACACGGCCCAGACUCCUACGGGAGGCAGCAGUGGGGAAUAUUGGACAAUGGGCGCAAGCCUGAUCCAGCCAUGCCGCGUGGAUGAUGAAGGCCCUAGGGUUGUAAAGUCCUUUCGGCGGGGAAGAUAAUGACGGUACCCGCAGAAGAAGCCCCGGCUAACUUCGUGCCAGCAG